AAAAAAACCAAAGACCCUAUCUACUCGUGAUUCCGUUUUAAACGUGGUCGCCGACGUCCGACAGUUCUGAGUCCGGUCCUCACGGGCGGUGAGUGACGUUCGGUUAUCAUUUUCACAAUUGUGUACAUUUAUAAUAUAUUACGUGAUGUGAAUCAACAAGACGUCCGAAAUGUUAAAAUAGUUUUUUUUUUUUUUUUUUUUUUAAAUUUUUAUACGGCUUCUCCGAACAUUUAAUUUAUUCCCGGUCGGCGUCGACGACGGGCCAAAGCGUUUCCAACCUAUUGUACGGACAUAUUGGCCAAAAAGUAAGUAUCGCUGCGGCUGCAGCUGGCGUUAUUUUAUCUCCGCGUUCGAGAAAUGUUUGUUUGGGUUUUUUUUUUCCUACGAAUACGUAUUGCGCGUAAACCUAAUUGUUCGACCGCAUUAAUUAUCGUUGUCCUUCUAAUCCCUGUCCGUUUGAAUAAAUUCGAGUGCCUACCUGCGACUCGAACGCACAAGAUCGUUACGCCGUAAUUGGUUCGCGCGUCGAAUUUUAUAAAUAAUAAUUAUAGUUAUGGUCUUAUAGGCACCUAACAUAACCACCUAUUUGAUAACGCGAGUGAUUAGUUAUGACCAGUUGACAACGCGCGUUUAGACGAGAACCAAGUGGCGUUUCGGUAACUCGGUACCGCUGUGUAGGUGCCUACGUGACGGCGAUUUAAAUUUUAAACGCACGACGUACGCCGUGCCGUAAUUACCGUAACCUCUUCCUCUAGUUAAUCCACGGCAUGUACUGGGUGUCAACCUGUACGUUUUUUUACCGGUGACCGAUACUUUAUAUCCAGUGUGUCCCGCCGUGUUCGAUGGGAUUUACUUGCGCUGUUAAUAUUAGAUUUUUUCCGAAGGAGGACUCCGAUUUGGAGAAAAAUGUAAUUUCUAUUUUCAUCCCGUUAAACACACGCGCGAGAAAAAACGACAUUUUAUUUGUUCACUUUGGAAAAUGUUCGAAAUAGUCAUUUUUGUAAAAAAUGUUUACGUAUCACACAUUCAUAUCCGAUGGAUAAUUUCUUAGUUAUAGCUGUUUCAAUUGAGUUGUGAACACAAUUAAUUUUCAAUAAAAUAACACGUUCCUUUCUUUUGUGAGGUUUUUUUUUAAAUUUUUAUUUCAUGUAAAGCUCACUAAUUUAAUUGUCGGUGCUAAUUAUACCACAGUUUCUAAUAAAAUAAAAAACAUGUUUUGCGAUAAGGAAUUACAAUUAACAAAUUAAAAAAUUGAAAAUAUGUAAAUAUGUUCAACAUUGCCAUUUGCUUAGGAUAGGUACUAAUUCUUAAUGAUGACUAUAUAUUUAAUGAUAUUGCAUAGAUAAAUUAGAUCUAUGCCAUUGAUAUUUGACAUCUCUUCUUUUUUUUAAAAAUUAUAACAUAAAAUAUCUCAGUAGGCCAAAUACCACUCAAUACUGAUACUCAAAUUUUUAAGCAUUUCAGAGCGACUAGAAUAAAAUGUUACCCAAAUAAAUAAUAUUUGAAUCGGUGAUUUACAGAUUGUAUAAGCAUGAAACUCACAGCCUGCUUACUUAUCGUGCACAAAGAAUUAUGGAAGUCUACAACCAUCAAAGGUUCAAAAUCUUGGCUGAGGACAAUCAUAAGUAACAGCAGCCAUGAACAUGAUUGGCAUGUUAGAGACUGCGAACAGCUAACUUAGAAAGAUGACAUUUUUACGAUUGCAAAUCAUUGGCUACCCAUGAUUAUUGAGAAUACAAAAGUUUGACAUAAUGUCUAUAGAAUUUAAAUAUUGUCAUUAGGUAUUAAUAUAUUUUAUUUUUUUCAUUGUCAUUAUAACAUAGUAAAAAAGAGGUGAAAUUACACAAACCUAUAUCUGUACAAUAUUAUUAAUAAUUCUCAUUACCUACUUUUGUUCUACUAAAAAAAAAAUAUCUGUACAAAUUUUAUCCAAAAGAGUUUAUUUUCAUUAUAUACAUAUUCACAAUGGUUAGUUGAUACUCUAUGCUAUAUGUGAACACUAUGAAUAAAAUAUCUGUUUAAUACAAUAUUGAAACAUACAAUUAUUUUUUAUUAUCCUAUCCCGUUGUACCAGCAUUUGCAUCGCUGGUAAAAUGCUCGACCUGGAGCAUCGUCAGGCCGUAACCCUCCGCUGUCAGUCUACCCGGAUUGGGGAGUGUCCCUGAGCUCUGGGUGGGCUCUAUCACCAAUAUCAGUGUGACUACAAUUCUAUAAAAGUUCAAUAUUAAUUAUUAUUUAGACAAUUUUCCUCAAAAUUACGAAUUUAAAAUACACAUUUCUGCUUAUG